rnacentral:rRNA from 1 species
UAACGUAUCGGAACGUACCUAUUGAGGGGGAUAACGCAGCGAAAGUUGUGCUAAUACCGCAUAAGUCCUGAGGGAGAAAGCGGGGGAUCUGAAAGGACCUCGCGCGAAUAGAGCGGCCGAUAUCUGAUCAGCUAGUUGGUAGGGUAAAGGCCUACCAAGGCGACGAUCAGUAGCUGGUCUGAGAGGACGACCAGCCACACUGGGACUGAGACACGGCCCAGACUCCUACGGGAGGCAGCAGUGGGGAAUUUUGGACAAUGGGGGCAACCCUGAUCCAGCCAUUCCGCGUGAGUGAAGAAGGCCUUCGGGUUGUAAAGCUCUUUCGGUGGGGAAGAAAAGGCGGGCUCUAACAGAGCCUGUUCAUGACGGUACCUGAAGAAGAAGCACCGGCUAACUACGUGCCAGCAGCCGCGGUAAUACGUAGGGUGCGAGCGUUAAUCGGAAUUACUGGGCGUAAAGGGUGCGCAGGCGGUUAUUUAAGACAGAUGUGAAAUCCCCGGGCUCAACCUGGGAACUGCGUUUGUGACUGAAUGGCUAGAGUGCGGCAGAGGGGGGUGGAAUUCCACGUGUAGCAGUGAAAUGCGUAGAGAUGUGGAGGAACACCGAUGGCGAAGGCAGCCCCCUGGGCCAGCACUGACGCUCAUGCACGAAAGCGUGGGGAGCAAACAGGAUUAGAUA